GUGAAUCAUCGAAUUUUUGAACGCAAAUUGCACUUUCUGGUACUCCGGGAAGUAUGCCUGCUUGAGGGUCAGUUAAAUAAAAAUCGGUGUUGUUGCUGCCUUUCGUGGUGACGCGUCGGAAUGGGGUCGUCUUACCUUCGGUUAAGUGACUUAGAAUUUUUGCAUGAUUUUCGAACGUAUUUAAAUCGCUGACGUACGUUUGAGAUAUCGAAUACUUUAGUAGGUUCGGUCAUCCUCAUGAUUCUCACCUAUAAUUUUUCAGUGAAUGACG
rnacentral:misc_RNA from 1 species